GGACUGUAGCUCAGUGGCAGAGCACUUGCUGAGCAUGCAUGAGGCCCUAGGUUCAAUCCUCAGCACCA
rnacentral:tRNA from 1 species